rnacentral:rRNA from 1 species
AUUGAACGCUGGCGGCAAGCCUAACACAUGCAAGUCGAACGAGUGGCGGACGGGUGAGUAAUGUCUGAGAAACUGCCUGAUGGAGGGGGAUACAUACUGGAAACGGUAGCUAAUAACGCAUACCAUCGAAUGUGCCCAGAGGGGAUUGGCUAGUAGGGGGGGUAACGGCUCACCUAGGCGAAGAUCCCUAGCUGGUCUGCGAGGAUGACCAUCCACACUGGAACUGCGGCACGUUCCUGACUCCUACGGUAGGCAGCAGUGGGGAAUAUUGCACAAUGGGCGCAAGCCUGAUGCAGCCAUGCCGCGUGUAUUAAGAAGGCCGUCGGGUUGUAAAGUACUUUCAGCGGGGAGGCGUUACCCGCAGAAGAAGCACCGGCUAACUCCGUGCCAGCCGCCGCGGUAAUAC